rnacentral:rRNA from 1 species
CCUACGGGAGGCAGCAGUGAGGAAUAUUGGACAAUGGGCGCAAGCCUGAUCCAGCCAUGCCGUGUGCAGGAAGACGCAUCUAUGGUGUGUAAACUGCUUUUGUACGGGAAGAAACACUCCCUCGUGAGGGAGCUUGACGGUACCGUAAGAAUAAGGAUCGGCUAACUCCGUGCCAGCAGCCGCGGUAAUACGGAGGAUCCAAGCGUUAUCCGGAAUCAUUGGGUUUAAAGGGUCCGUAGGCGGUUUAAUAAGUCAGUGGUGAAAGCCCAUCGCUCAACGAUGGAACGGCCAUUGAUACUGUUAGACUUGAAUUACUAGGAAGUAACUAGAAUAUGUAGUGUAGCGGUGAAAUGCUUAGAUAUUACAUGGAAUACCAAUUGCGAAGGCAGGUUACUACUAGUGGAUUGACGCUGAUGGACGAAAGCGUGGGGAGCGAACAGGAUUAGAUACCCUGGUAGUCCACGCCGUAAACGAUGGAUACUAGCUGUUGGGCGCAAGUUCAGUGGCUAAGCGAAAGUGAUAAGUAUCCCACCUGGGGAGUCGUUCGNAAGAUGAAACUUCAAAGGAUUGACGGNNGAGAGNGCGAGACGACGACGAGGGAGGAGG